rnacentral:piRNA from 1 species
UCACAGGUCAAGUUGUUGCUUCAUACCAAGC